AUUGAACGCUGGCGGAAUGCUUUACACAUGCAAGUCGAACGGCAGCACGGGGGCAACCCUGGUGGCGAGUGGCGAACGGGUGAGUAAUACAUCGGAACGUGCCCAGUCGUGGGGGAUAACGUAGCGAAAGUUACGCUAAUACCGCAUACGAUCUACGAAUGAAAGCGGGGGACCGUAAGGCCUCGCGCGAUUGGAGCGGCCGAUGUCAGAUUAGGUAGUUGGUGAGGUAAAGGCUCACCAAGCCGACGAUCUGUAGCUGGUCUGAGAGGACGACCAGCCACACUGGGACUGAGACACGGCCCAGACUCCUACGGGAGGCAGCAGUGGGGAAUUUUGGACAAUGGGCGCAAGCCUGAUCCAGCCAUUCCGCGUGCAGGACGAAGGCCUUCGGGUUGUAAACUGCUUUUGUACGGAACGAAAAGGCUCUGGUUAAUACCUGGGGCUCAUGACGGUACCGUAGGAAUAAGCACCGGCUAACUACGUGCCAGCAGCCGCGGUAA
rnacentral:rRNA from 1 species